GAAUUGGUUUGAAUGUUCCUGGACUGAGGAGAAAAAGUAAUUCGAAAGGAAAUUCUAACUUCCAGUCGCACGUCCCGGGGCUGCCUGGUCAGACACCUGCUGUGUAUCCUGCUUAAGCAGCGAUGGAUAGUCACCUGGAGGCUCAACCUGGAGGUGAUAAUGUCCUAAAUAUUCCUUCUGUGGAAACAGCACCUGCACUGCUAUGUGUGGAUUCCAGGGGACUUUGCCUUAAAGGAGUUUCCAAAGGAAUUUGUGGAGAAAUAUUUCACGUCUACCAUCUCUCCUUUCUCAUCUAAGCCAGCACUUGUCCAACAGAGAACACUGUCUAAAUCCUGGCUGUCCUCAUUACUGCCCCUGUAACUGAGCAGACACAGAGAUGAAUGAAGUGCCUGCCCAAAGCUACCUGAGCAGAAACGUGAAAGGAAUUUAUGAGCCACGGCAUCCUGGCUCCACCUGGCACCUGACGUCCAGGCUGCACGGGGAGGCUGGACGGUCCUGCAGUUGCUUAUUGGAGCUAUCAGCUCCAGGCACGGCUGCUGCAAAAGGACAGGGGAUCCAGCUGCCAUCACCUUCCUUAUCCCUAGAUCUCUUGGAUACCAUCAUCAAGGCACUGGUGAUACAGCACUGAGCAACAAAUACAUUCCCUGUGGAAAGCUCAUAUUCAAGCAUAAACAAAACACAUUAGAUGGAUAAUAGCAAACUUUUACCAAGCAGAUGCCCUGUGCCAAGCCUAUUCUAAGCCAGGAGUUGUAAACUGCUCUUCGUGGGCCAAAUAUGGCCCACCACCUACUUCUGUAAAUAAAGCCACUCAUUUACAUGUUAUUUCAAUGGCUGCUUUUGUGCUACAUAAAAAUUGAGACUGAGACCACAUGACUCACAAGCCCUAAAGUAUUUACUAGCUGGCCCUUGACAGGAAAGGUAUGCUGACCCCUGCUCUAAGCAUACCUUUGACAAAGAUGCAAUAUAUCUCAGCGCCAAUUUUCUAGAUGAGGAAGCUAAGGCACAGAACAUGAAGUUAGCUUGUUCAAGGUCACACAUAUAAGAAAUAAAGGAAUCAGACCCAUGGUACAAGGUGGCUAUAAAACUCAUGUUUUUACAAGCUGUGCCAUUCUGCCUAGCCAGCCAAACCUAGGGUCAUUUCAUUACAACUGUAAACAGUGCAGAGAAGAAGUGAAGAGCCCUUCACUGAAUUGCGAAGCUAGGGCUGAAAUUUGAAGGACCUGGAAACGUUGGCUGGAUGAAAAUGGGACAUAGUGCUGGCAAGGAACAGUAAAUGAGGGCCUUGCAACAGUAAAGAGCUGGCCAUUUGCAGAAUAAUGUAGUUGAGAUGGAUCUGGUUCUGGGCUGAGUUUCCAGGAAGAACUCCCUAGUGAAAAUAGCAAGGACACCCCAGCAUAGUGCCACCUGUGCACACACCUGCAGCAGUGAAAUGGAGAUUCUCUGUCCUCCUGCAUUCCUGCCCUAUGCAAAAUCAAAGUCCCAUGCUGGUGCAUCCACCAAGGACUCUGAGUCAUAGUUCUGCAUCCUACCAGCAAAGGAGACCGGGAAAUGUAGUCAGCUUUUGUUUCAUGCCUGGGCUUCUAAGCUAGGGAGAAACCAAAUGUGGAGAAGGUGUUCUAAGGUCCUGGGCUGCUUCAAAGGGCACAGACCUGCUACAGCAGAUGGCAGGGGAUUAGGGUUAGGGUCAUCAGAAGGAAAUACAAAAGGAGGGGUUGGUUGGAGAGGAAAAUGGGGAUUUGUUCUGGACCCAUUGAAUGUGCAGAGCCUGUGACAUCCACGAGGUAGUUGGAGAGAUCUUGUUUAAUCCUUCAGGGGAAUUUACAAUUAGCAUUCUGAUCCCCUAUCCAUAGAAUUACUCGGUAAGAAAGUGGGGAAAACAGGACACAAUUCCAGGACAUUUCGGCUCCAAUGCCAAAUUUAGCUCUAAUUUUUUUGUGUGGCUCACAAACAUUGCCUGCCAACUUUAUCAUUGUCCUUUUAGCAUCUACCUAGCUUUGAUUCAUCAUGAAUAUUUUUAAUUCUGUUUUUAAUAUAUUCUCAUCACUCCCUAAGCUGACAAACACUGUGGAAGUCUCACCAUUUGUCCCUGACAAACCCCAAGUUCAUGCUAAGGUCACAAACGUGUGCUCCUUUGUUUCUGUGUAACUGGGUGGGGACAGUGUGCCCCAUGAGAAGAGAUCUUCUGAAUAGUGCCCUUCAAAACAAAAUGAGGGGGACAUUGUUUAUUUUGGCACUCCCCCUCCCCCAACAUCCCCAUUUAUAUGGUUCUUUCCACUUCUAGAGUCCCAAUUUCUUUAAAAACUCAGUACAUUUACUUGAUACCAAAGUAGCUAGAAGCAUUCUUAGGAAAGGUUGCAACUUUAAUGUGCUGCCCCUUUUAAGGAUUUGUAUAUCCACAAAUAUUAACUCAUGAAUGUAAGGAUGCAAUAGGAAAGACCGCUUUGGGGAAUUCUGUUCCUUUUUCUUUCCUACUUUUGUUUUCUGUUCACCAUUUAAAUCACAACCAAACUUUCUCAGUCUUUCAAAGAAUUUGGCCUGACAGCCUUAUUCAUGCUCAAGAGAGUCCAUCCCACCAGACUUUUCUGUAGAAAAGUCAACUUGAUUCUAUAGUUUAUAUAAAAAUGCAAAUGAUUUAUCAUUUAACCAAAACAGUUUAAAAAAAAAAAAGGAAAGAAAUGGGAAUACAUUAAAGUGCCUGGAUUUCAAGACUUACUACAAAGCCCUAGUUGUCAACACAAUGCACAUUGGCAAAGGAUAGUUGUAAAUGAAUGGAAAAGGAGGGUCCAGAUAUAGGCUCACACAUACAUAGUCAGUUAAUGUUCAACAAAGGUGCCAGGGUGAUUCAGGGUGAAAGGUGAGGUUUUUUUUCAGCAAAGGCUGCGUGACCACCUAGAUCUCAUUUUAAAAAAAGAAAAAGACAAAAAGAAACUGUACCCUCACCUCACGCCAUGUACAAAAACUAACUCAAAAUGGAUUACAGACCUAAAUGUAAAAGCCAAAACUAUCAGACACAUAAAAACAAACAGAAGACAAUCUGUGCAACUCUGGGGUAGACAAAAAUGAUUAGGACACAAAAAAACCACCAACCGUAAAGAAAAUAUUGAUAAAGUGGGCCUCAUCAAAACUGAAAGCUUUUGUUAUUUGAAAGACAGUGUUAGGGCAAUGAAAAGAAAAAAUUACACCCCAGAAUAAAAAUAUAUGUGUUUCUGUCAAUGGACUUGUACUGAGAACAAACAGAAAGGCUUGCAACUCAAUCAUAAGAAAACAUAUCCCUCAAUAAUAUUUUUAAUGGGCAAAAUAUUUCAACCAGCUUCAUUAAAAAGGAUAUAAAAAUUGCCAACAAGCACAUGAAAAAAUUCUCAACAUCAUUAGUCACCAGAAAAAUGCAAAUUGAAAGCACAAUGAAAUAGCACCACACACCCACCAGAAUGGCUAAAAUUAAAGAGACUGGUAAUACCAUACUGGCAAGGAAGUAGAGCGACUAAGGGUGUAAAACUGUGCUGUGGAAAACAGUUUGGCAGUUUCUUUAAAAGUUAAACACACACUUAACAUAUGACCCAGAAAUUCUGCAUCUAGUUAUCUACCCAAGAAAAAUGAAAACAUAUGUAUUCAAAAGAUUUACUAUGAGCCUUCAUAUACAACUCUCUUCAGAGAAAUUGUGUUACAUCCCUACACUAAAAUAGUUCUCAGAAAAUUGACACGGUGAUUUAUGCAGCAACAGUGAUGAGCCUUGGAAAUGUUAUUACUAGUGUCUCAGUAAUUGUUUAUGGUGCCCCUAAGCCAAAAGAAAUACCAUAACAGUUCCUUCUAUGAAGUCAUUGGGUCAUAGUGGUUCCUAUAGUGUUCAACAGAUGUCUUUGUGUUUCUCUCACAAAUGUAAAACAUCCGUGGUACUGUGAGUUUGCUGUUAGUGUCUCAGGGCAAUUUGGCAUGAUUUGGGACCAUGCGGCUAAAUUAAUCAACAGUAACUGAAAGGAGAACUAUGGUUGCCUGGGGCUGGGGAAAGGAAGAUUUCAGAACUUUCUGGAAUGAUGGAAUUUCCCUAAAUUUUAUUUGUGGCUAGGCAUAUGUAUAUUCACCAAAGUGUAUGAGGUGUUCCUCAAAAAAGUUAAUAGAAAAAUGCAUAUUAUGAAAAACUAUGAGUGAAUUUCAAAAUUAUUUUGCAUCAAACUUUUCUUUUAUUGCCACUUUUCCAUGAACUUUUUUGAAAUCCCCUCAUCUACCUAGAAUAUAUGCAUUUAUUGUAUAUAAAUUAUACCUCAAUAAAAGUAAAUUAAAGGUCAAAGAUUCCUUUCCUUGGUAUAAAAAUAUAUUUUGUGUGUAUAUACCCAUGUGAACAUAUACAUACACACUCUUAUUUCUGCCUGCUCAUAAAAUGACAGAACUAGACUUGGUUACUUUGUGAUUAACCCUAUUAAUUGCCUCUUAGACUCAAUUUUACUUUUUUGAAAGGCAGAGUGACAGAGAGAGACACACACACAGAGAGAGAGAGAGAUAGAGAGAGGAAGAGAUCUUCCAUUCAUCCACUGAUCUACUCCCCAAAUGUCUGCAACAGCUAGAUCUGUGCCCAGCCAAAGGCCAGGAGCCAGGAACUCCAAACUGGGUGGCAGGGGCCCAAUCCAUUCCUUUUCCAAGACAUGAACAGGAAGCUGGAUUGGCUAUGGAGUAACUGGGACUCAAAUGUGCACUCCACCGAGGGGUGCUGGCAUUGCAGGUGGCAGCUUAACCUGUUGUACCACCACACUGACUCCCUAGACUCGGUCUCUAACUCCCUUUUUCCUCUGCCCUUACUCUACUUCUGGCAAUUGAAAAUACUUUGGUUUUAUGUGCUUGUUAAAUGUCUCUUGUCUUGGAUUUGUUGAGACUUGAAGUUUUGAGACAUUUUAUUAUUAUUAAAUAAUAAUUUGAAAAACCUCCUAUAUGGCUAUUCUAAAUGAUACUGUGUAAUUAAUGUUUUACAGUUGUGUUUUAUGAAACUCGCCAAUUCCUGAGAUAGAUAUUAUUAUAUAUUAUCUAGUAUUAGCCAUAUUAUACGGAUCAAUAAACUGAGGCUCAGAGAGAUUCAGUGAGUUGAUCUUGCACACAGGCACCAAGUAGAGACACUGGGACUUACAUCUGGAUAGGUCUAUCAGAGGUGCUCAGAGCUACUAUGCCUCCCUGACUCACUGCAUGCUUCUGGUCUAAUUAUUUUAAGAGUAGAAUCUUUCUGUGGGAAGCUAUACCUCUUCCUAUGGCAGCCUGGAGUGUACAGUGUGUAUGGUGCCCCUCCAUUUACUCCUGAUGAGUGAUGGGUAAGCAAAAAUCCUGUUUGGAUGUCCUUCUGAUGUUACUCUUACAAAGUAUGGUCCUGAAAGAUUUUCCUGCAUGGAAAAAUCUAGAACCUUAUACCUUUCUGAGUGCCCACUGUUAGACAUCCUAAUGCAUUCUUUUUAUCAUUGUAUUUUUAGCUGAAUGAUAACUACAUUAAAACUAUUUAAAUAAGAUCAACAAUUUGCAUUUUCAUGUUGUGUAACCAUUUCCUAAGAGUUUACCCCAUGGCAUCUUUCCAGUCACUAUAAGACAACAUUGAGUGGUCACUACUGCUGAUUCCAUGUCAUCUGUUCCAAUCCAGAUGGUAUAUCUGUACCCCUUCCUCAGGCCAUGAUUCAGAGGUACACAAGUGACCCAGCCUAUGCAAUGAAACAUGAAGAAACAUCUUAAGGGAGAUCCUAGAGAAGCCACAGGAAGGAGUCCCUUUUCCCUGGAUGUGAUCCUGUUGACUUAACACCUGGAAUUACCACAGCUGUCUUGGUUUCACCCCCCAGCUACGGAUGACAAUGAAUGAGGAUGACAGAACUGAGAGUCAGAGGGCUCUCAGCCCUUCAUGAUUCUGUCAGCCUCCCUAGAGAACAUGAUGUCUCUAGCUCUCCUCUUAGGCAAGAUAGCAUAAACCAGUUUGAUUUGUUUUUCUAAGAAUCCUAAUGCCUUUGCCCUACCUGGGACUCCAAGAGCUUAGUUGCUUUUUUCAUAUUGUUAGUAUGACCACAGUGGAAACCAGAAUCCCAGCCUCCUAUCAGCUGGGUUGUCUUUCAUUCUCCAGCUGUGAAAAAUGGGCUGAGAUGAUUUUGCCUAGUUUGGCUUGAUGAAUAUCAGCUGAAUACUGAAAACACCUUUUUCUGGUUGUUGUAAAAGAUGAAAAUCUUUGCCAAUUUUGAGGGAUAAUUCAGGAACAUAAAUGUCUGUUGAUAAGAUAUAGAUGUCUGCUUCAGUAUAACUUUGUCAAAUUAAUUUUUAUGAUAACCUUAAUUGUAGCUGAGGACAUAUGGUUUAAUGCAAUACAUGCAAUUGCAUCAUUGCCUUCAAUAUCCCUAUAUACUCAAGAAAAACUAUAGCCUUUUUAAAAAAAUUUGCGUGAGAAACUGCUGGGAAAGUUUUUUUUUUUUUUUUAAUCAUUCUUAAGUGCUAGGUAAACAAAAUAGGAGAAUCAUUUCUUCCUACAAUGCCAAUAGCUAGUAAAUGUGUGUUGAGUUUUUUUCUUAUUUUGCUCAAGAUUUGGGCUUUAACAACAGAAAUGUUUGCAAUAAUUUUUGUCUUGCUAGAACUUCUUGUUCAUCUUUGGAACAUUUCCUACAAACACUAGUUUCAUCUCACCUUGGACUCUAGAACUAGAAGGGAGCCUCAAACAUCUGUCUGCCUUCCUUGUACCAGGUAGUCCUCCGCCUGAACUGAAUCAAUGCUCCUUAUAAAGCUCCCUGAAGGUGCAGGCACACCUGCCUCAGACAUGCCUUCUUAGCAUGAGGAACUCAGCUUGAGCCUGACAUAAAUCUCACAUUUUCCAACUUAAGGUCAUUUCCUCUAUUCUCUGUUUCCACAGUUUAUCAGAGUUUGUGGACUUUGCCCAGGUGCCCCUAGCUGCCUGUCAGUGCUUUUGUUCAGAUGUCUUCCAGCUCUCUGGGUGCCCACUGGCCACCCAGGCCUACCUGGUGACUCCCCCAGUUUCCUCUGAUGGGAGUCUCUUUAUGAUUAGAGUGACCACCCAUCCUGCUCUACUGAAUGCCAGUUGUAUAUACAAUUAUUAAGAGCCGGCUUCACUGUCAACAGUGCUUGCUUUACUUAAUAAAUUACAUAAAUCCCUUACUUAUGAAGUAAGUUUAUGAAGAUUCAGAGUGAACCCCCUGAAUCUCCCAGCUGAAGGUAAGGUGCACUACUCUAUGGCAAUGACAGACAGUGCACCGUGCAAGAUGGCCACCAACAACCACACGCGGCUUCUGAGCACCUGAUAUGGAGCCAGCCCUAACUGAAAUGUGUAGAAUGUAUAAAAUACACUUCAGAUUUCAAGGAUUUAGUACCAAAAUAAAAUGUAAAAUAUCUCAAUGUUUAUAUUAAAAUUAUAUUUAACUGUUGGGUAAAAUAAAACAUAUCCAUUAAUGUAUCACUAAAACUAAAACAUUAUUCAAAUUAAUUUGUUUUUAAUGGAGCUAUUGAAACAAUUUUUAAAGUUUUUUUCAUUUAUUUUACUUUUUUGAAAAGCAGACAGUGCUACAGGGAUCUCCCAUCUACUGGUUCACUCCCCAAAAGCCUGCAAUAGUGAGAGAUAGGUCAGGCAUUCUGAAAUUAUGACCACCUGACCUGUGGCCAGGUUAAAAAAGAACAGUGUGGGGGAGGGAAUGGUGGCAGGGAGGGAAAUAGCAACAAUGAGAAGAAAGUGAAAGGAAACAAGAGGGCAGGGUUAGGCAUUUAGCCUAAAAGUUAAGACACCUGUUUGCCACAUUCCCACUUUGGUUUGACUCUGCUCAAGUUGUCAAUCCAGGCUUCCUGCUUAUGCACUCAAUGGGAGGCAGCAGGUGAUAACUUGCCACCGCCACCCACGUGGAAGACUUGGAUUGCAUUCCCAACACCUGGCUUCAGCCCCUGGCUAUUGCAGCUAUUUGGGGAGUGGACCAGUGGAUGGGAGUGCUUACUCUCAUUCUCUCAAUCUCUCUCCCUCUUUAAAAAAAUUAAAAAGAAAUAAAGGAGGAAACAGGAAAAGAAAACAGGUUGGAAAUGAGAGCGACGGAGACAGAAAGAGCAGAGAGGCAGGGAGGGAGAGCCUCAGCAGGCCCUCGAGUGGGUAUCAGUUGGAGUAAGCAGUUCUAGUCACAGCUUGUCUUUAAUAUGGGAAGACCAGGCUUUGAACCCUUGUUCCCCUCCAAGGGAAAUAGGCUACUUCCAGGAAGGGAGUAUAACUCUGCAUAAAGCAGCUCCCUCUGGCCUGAAUCUAUGAGCUCAGCAACUGGAGAAACGCAGGCUCUGCCUAGGAAAGUUGGCAAGUAACGUGUUUAAUUAGCUAGCUUGCAGCCACAAGGCACCACUGUAGAGAAUCACAUGGCAUCUGCAAAAAGAUCAUGCACUCAGAUACACAGAGCAGCAAUGACAGCAAAAGUGAGAAGCCUUAAAGUACUCAUAGGAAAAUGGGUCCAUAGGUUGUGACAUAUUCAAGGGAUACAACACUUUACUGCAGUUGUGAGGAUUGGGCUAAAUUUAUAACCAUCAGUGUGGGUAGGUCCCAAACACAGGGGCUACUUGACUUACAAUGCAUUUUCAUCCUGAUGAAGCCACUGUAAACUGAAGACAGAAAGCACUGUAAGUGGAAAACUCAUGGAAGACACUUAAACUCCCAAACAUCCUGGCUUAGCAUCCAGCACACUGCAGAGUGUAGGAGGUUUCCCCUCAUGAUCACAGGCCAGCAUUGCCAGAGAGUAUCAGACCACAUAAUUCCAGCCUGGGAUAAGAUCCAAACUUGAAAUUCCAAAAGGCGGCUUCAACUGAAGGUGCGCCACUCUCACACAAUCAGAAGUAACAAAAAUUCUGAGUCAAAUUGUCCUUAAGUCAGGGAUCAUCUGUCUAACAUUACUGGAUUUUUUGGGAGUUUUUGGGAGGUACACACAGUAAACUGGUAUUUAUUUCAUCUUAAAUACAAUGUAAAAUGCAUAUUUAUAUGUGGGUCCUGCUGUAGGAACACAUUUAGGAAAGUGGUGACUGUGGCAGGAAAACCUUAGCAGGGAAACUGUGAACACAUGGAAACUUCAACAUUAUCCAUAAUAACCAAUCUCUCGUUUAAAAAAAAAAAAAACUAUGAAGCAAGAUCCACAAUGUCAGCAUUUAUUAGUUCUCUGUAGAUGGUAGGUACACUAGUUUAUGGGUUCUUAACUGAGAGUUUUUAACUCUUCAAGAGUGUUUAAGGCUAGCACUGUGGCAUAGCAGGGUAAGUCACCACUGAGAUGCUGGCAUCCCAUAUGGGAAUGCUAGUAUUGAUCCCAGCGCCCCUAGUUCUUAUCCAGUUUCCUGAUAAUGCACACCCUGGAAGGCAGAAGGUGAUGGGUCAGCUACUGGUAGAGUUCCUGUCUCCUGACUUUGGCCUGGUCCAUCCAGCCUUGGCUGUUGUAGCCAUCUGGAGAGUAAACCAGUGGAUGGAAGCUUUCUUCUCUCUCUCUCUCUCUCUCUCUCUCUCUCUUCUUCCUCUUCUUCUUCUCUCUCUCUCUCCUCCCCCCUCCCUCACUCCCUCUCUCUCUCUCUUUCUUGCUGUUUUUCUGCCUUUAAAUUGGUAAAUGAAGUUUUUUAAAAAAUAAAAGGACCCAAUCUGAACUCUGAACUCUUGGCCUGGUAGCUUCAUCAAGACAAUAAAAGAUCUCUGAUGUGAAGAAUCACGCUGAACCAAAGAAUCCCUAGAAUUCCCUGUUGCCAACCGUGCACACACACAGGCAUGCACACAGCAGGCAGGCCCAGGCAGAUGCUAGCUCUUUCAGUCUCUUGGUAUGCCCAGGCACGUGCAGCCUGACGGAAGAGCUCAGAAAUCUUCCAGGUCUUCCUGUAACAGAUUAGUUGCAAAGUGUUUGUGAAAGCAAGGACCAACCAUGAUGUGAACCCCCCAGUCCUGAAAGGCUAAGACAUGACUUGGCUGUCACUGAUGGCAAAUGGACAAGAGCGGAUCCCAGACCUCAACCAGUAGGGCCCCCUUGACCUCCUAUAGUCAGGGAAGCAUAAGUUGCUCUUAGAAUAAAUUUCACAGAUACCUUUAAACUUGGACUACCAGUUAAACAUUAUGCUGGAAGCUGAGAUAUAAAAAUUAAAGCACUAACAUUGGCCUCAAGGUGCUCACUUUUUAGCAAAACAUCUGCUCAUAUACAACAGAUUCUGAGGUGACACAAACAGAAGCUAUUAACUUUGGUAGAGUACAGAUAAAACACAACAAGAACAAGGGACAUUGGGAAAGACUUCUCAGGGAAAAAUGACAUGAGCGAGGCAUUAAUGGGAUGUGAUUUCUCCUCAUAAAAAAAGAAAAAGAAGGGGCUGGCGCCGCAGCUCAAUAGGCUAAUCCUCUGCCUGCAGCGCUGGCACACCGGGUUCUAGUCCCAGUCGGGGCGCCAGAUUCUGUCCCAGUUGCUCCUCUUCCAGUCCAGCUCUCUGCUGUGACCCGGGAAGGCAGUGGAGGAUGGCCCAGGUCCUUGGGCCCUGCACCCGCAUGGGAGACCAGGAGGAAGCACCUGGCCCCUGGCUUCAGAUCAGCGCAGCGUGCCAGCCACAACACACCGGCCGUAGCGGCCACUUGGGGGGGGUGAGCCAACUGAAAAAAGGAAGACCUUUCUCUCUGUCUCUGUCUCUCUCUCACUGUUUAACA